GCUUGUACAAGCGACAUUCCGAUCACACAACUCUUAUUGUUGCGCCAAGACUCUCUUCAACCAAAUCAUUAAUUUCCUAUCCGCCGCCCAAAUUAUGAAAAUAGCAAACAAAAGGGGAAAUAAUUGCCAAUCAAGAUCCAUAAAUUAGUUUCUAUAUAAAUACAGUUUUAGUCCAUAUGCUGAUGAAAUUGUGAUGUUUUUUUAUCAUAUGCCCUUGAUUAUGUGUCAUAUUUUCUGGAUGAAACUUAAGAUUUUAGAAUGGCAACUCUGAAUUCCUAUACACACUCUUUUUGGGACUUAACAGGAUAAGGCACCAUUGCUAUCUCUUACAGCACUGCAUCAUCUACAUACCUUUAUCUUCGUGCUGGCCAUUUCACAUGUUACUUUCUCAGCUCUUACAAUUUUAUUUGAAGGUUUAAAGAUACGUCAGUGGAAAUCUUGGGAGGAAUAUAAUCCAGAAGAAGUACUUCGCUCGAAAGUUACACAUGUCCAAGACCAUGAUUUUUCCAAGAGCCGGUUUCUAGGUUUUGCGUUCUUUCGUCAAGCAAUUCUUUGGAUCUGUCACAAAAUUGGACUAUACAACUUUGAGGCUUGGCUUCAUUAUGAUUCAUUGCAAGGGGAAUCCAAAGUUCAAUUUUCACAAGUAUAUGAUACGCGUACUUGAGGCUGAUUUUAAGAAAGUUGUUGGGAUUAGGUAACACAAUGCUUACAAUUUUGUUCAACAAUAGUUACUGAGUGAACAAAAUUGAAAUAAAACAAGGAAGCAUGUAUUAGUCAAUCUGAUGUUACUGUUAGAUUUCUCGUCUCUCCUCUUAGAGGUUACUCAUGUGUUUA